rnacentral:rRNA from 1 species
CCCACUCCCGGCACGGGGAGGUAGUGACGAAAAAUAACGAUACGGGACUCAUCCGAGGCCCCGUAAUCGGAAUGAGUACACUCUAAACACGUUUCCGAAAGACAAUUGGAGGGUAAGUCUGGUGCCAGCAACCGCGGUAAGACCAGCUCCAAUAGCGUAUAUUAAAGUUGUUGCGGUUAAAAAGCUCGUAGUCGAAUCUGUGUCCCGCGCCGCUGGUUCAUCGCUCGCGGUGUUCAACUGGCGUGUCUCGCGGGACGUCCUGCCGGUGGGAUUUGCGCCGCUUCGGCGGUUCAGUCCCUACUCGUCUCCGUGUCCUACGGUUUCGGAUCCCAUCGCGGUGCUCUUUAUUGAGUGUCGAGGUGGGCCGGCACAUUUACUUUGAACAAAUUAAAGUGCUUAAAGCAGGCCAGUUUUGCCUGAAUAUUCGUGCAUGGAAUAAUAGAAGAGGACCUCGGUUCUAUUUUGUUGGUUUACGGACCCCGAGGUAAUGAUUAAUAGGAACGGAUGGGGGCAUUCGUAUUGCGACGUUAGAGGUGAAAUUCUUGGAUCGUCGCAAGACGGACAUAAGCGAAAGCAUUUGCCAAAAACGUUUUCAUUGAUCAAGAACGAAAGUUAGAGGCUCGAAGGCGAUCAGAUACCGCCCUAGUUCUAACCAUAAACGAUGCCAGCUAGCGAUCCGCCGACGUUCCUCCGAUGACUCGGCGGGCAGCUUCCGGGAAACCAAAGCUUUUGGGUUCCGGGGGAAGUAUGGUUGCAAAGCUGAAACUUAAAGGAAUUGACGGAAGGGCACCACCAGGAGUGGAGCCUGCGGCUCAAUUUGACUCAACACGGGGAAACUGACCAGGCCCGGACACCGGAAGGAUUGACAGAUUGAGAGCUCUUUCUUGAUUCGGUGGGUGGUGGUGCAUGGCCGU